CUGCGUCUACCACAAACUCCUGGGAUCCCAUCAUCUGCAAAGAUUUAUUUGCCUCAUCUAAUACAUAGACAUAUAUACAUGGACUCCUCUUGUUAUAUCCAGAUAGCAAAUUGUAUCCUCACCCUUUCACCGAAAUAUGCAAUCUUCUUCCCUGGUUUAUUGGCGUAACAUGAUUAUGGCACACAGGGUUAAUCUAUACUUCUGUUUUAAAGUUACAGGCUUACCUCUCUGAAAUAACUUCCUUCAUAUUAAUUUGCACCUGCAAUGGAUGGCAUGAAUUUUGCUUUCAUCGUCGAGCCGAAGAGAGCCGCUGCCGCAAGCUUUAUUGGAGACCAUCAGGAGAAGCAAAUGGAGCAGGCAGUGAACUUUCGACGGCGAAAAAAUACGGGUUGGAUGCCACAAGAUUUGUUGCUGUUUGUGGUUACAAAUGUCAAUUUGGUCAUGUUUCUUGACUUUUGAUUUUUUACAGUUUGUUGUGUCACCCCGUCUAAAGAUGCCCGUCACUGCCGUCCACCUCAUGUGAGGUGGACAAGCACUUUGUCCACGUUUUUCUAUUUCUCCCCAAUGAAGCAUAAGAACUGUCAUAUAUAGUUGUUCUCAUAAGCUCUAAAAAAGGCAAUGAGCAACAAAAACACAUAUUCUGAUUCCAAAUUUAGCUUAGUAAUAUAGCUGGUUGCAAGAUAAUAUAUAUGGUGUUUUUCAAUAAUUCAAGUGCAAACCUUUUAUGUGCUAGGAAUUAUAGUAGCUAGCAAUAAGCCAGAUGUCCUUGCAAUCUUACCUUAUUUGUAUUUCAUAUCAGAUGCAACCAUCAGGUUUAUCUUGGCUCUACUAUGCUUAAUUAAGUGGCUUAGGUUCUCAUGAUUAUUGGGCCUUCUACGGGAUCAUGUUGCCAUUUCAUUGAGGUACCCGGCCGCCCGUAUCAACUUUACAACCGCGGGGUUGCCGUGGCAGAAAAAAUCCCCACCGGUAAGAUCCCCUUUUGUUUCCAUGUGCGCCUUCUGCCGCAUUUUUUCUCCUGGGCUUUUAACUCCCGCCCGUCGUCGAUAGCUUCCUUGGACGCGUGAGCAUGUCCGCUCACUGCAGCCACUCCACCACCGGCAGAUCCCAUCGCAUCGCGCAAGAACUGUAGCAACACUGCACCGGCUGGGACUGAAUCCAAAACUGUUUUCGCUAUACUAUGAUUUGCCGAUGUAGUAUGAGAAUAUGUGAUUUGCCCAUGUAGUAUGAGAAUAUGUGACUUGCCCAGGUUGUAUGAUUAGCUUUAUUUUUAUUAUGAAGAAUUAGAUUCACCUAAGACUGAAUCAAAAACAGUUGUUCGCUAUUACUGUGAACGAUUUGAUAUGCUUAUGUGAUUUGCACAGCCAGUAUGAGAAUAUGUCCCCAUUACUAUAGCAUGUGUGCUCUGCUCAUUAUCUUGCUUGUUGAAUAUGUUCCCAUGGACUGCACGUCUCUGAAGGAUCUUUCUCGGAAUUCCUACCGAUGAAAGAUUAUGGUACGAUUCGCCAGGAUCUGCGAGUUUAGGAGCCCAGAUAAAAGAACUCUCUACUCGCUUGACUUCGUUGUUGUUGAU